rnacentral:rRNA from 1 species
GACGAACGCUGGCGGCGUGCUUAACACAUGCAAGUCGAACGGGGUGGCGAACGGGUGAGUAAUACGUGAGUAACCUGCUCUCCUUUUUGGGGUAAUAAUUGGUAACGGGGUCUACUACUACAUAGAGGGGGAUGGGCCCGCGGCCUAUUAGCUGGUUGGUGGGGUGAGGGCCUAACAAGGCGGUGACGGGUAGCCGGCCUGGGAGGGUGACCGGGGACAUUGGUACCGGGCUACGGCCCAGACGCGUACGGGAGGCAGCAGUGGGGGAUAUUGGACAAAGGGCGAAAGCAUGAUGCAGGGGCGUCGCGUGUGGGAUGAAGGCUUGCGGGUUGUAAACCUCUUGCGCUAUCGAACGGGUAGGUGGAGAAGAAGCGCCGGCUAACUACGUGCCAGCAGCCGCGGUAAUAC